rnacentral:rRNA from 1 species
CCUACGGGGGGCAGCAGUGGGGAAUAUUGCACAAUGGGGGAAAGCCUGAUGCAGCGACGCCGCGUGAGGGAAGAAGGAAUUCGGGAUGGAAAGCUCUAUCAGCAGGGAAGAAAAGGACGGUACCUGAGUAGGAAGCCCCGGCUAACUACGUGCCAGCAGCCGCGGUAAUACGUAGGGGGCAAGCGUUAUCCGGAUUUACUGGGUGUAAAGGGAGCGUAGACGGCGGGGCAAGUCUGGAGUGAAAGGCGGGGGCUCAACCCCCGGACUGCGCUGGAAACUGUACGGCUGGAGUGCAGGAGAGGUAGGUGGAAUUCCUAGUGUAGCGGUGAAAUGCGUAGAUAUUAGGAGGAACACCAGUGGCGAAGGCGGCUUACUGGACUGUAACUGACGUUGAGGCUCGAAAGCGUGGGGAGCAAACAGGAUUAGAUACCCGUGUAGUC